GCCUCAGUGGUGUAGUGGUACCACGCCUCUGGUAUGAAUGGGACGCGGGUUCAACUCCCGGCUGAGCUU